UUUCUUAGACUGUCAGGACACCGAGAAUGGAGGUAUUUCUGAUAGACCUGAUGAUGCCGUUGAUGUCUUCCACACAUAUUUUGGAGUGGCAGGACUUUCACUUCUUGAAUACCCUGGAGUGAAAGCAAUUGAUCCAGCUUAUGCUUUGCCUGUCGAUGUUGUAAAUAGGAUUUUCUUAUCUAAGUAACAGGUUUAUUUGGUUUCAGAAAAUGCAAUGUUGCUGGGGGUCGAGAUUGGGGCAGUCUUACUUUCCCCCAUUAUGGUAGUGUUAGCCAAUGUCUUUUGCUAUUAACAAUUCAGUAAUUAAUUAUUGGAAGAUUUAUUUAUGAA